CCCUAACAUCCCAGGGGGUCAUCCAUCCUUGGAUUACUCUCGUCCUAGUCUGUCCAGCUUGUUGGUGGUCGCGACACCACAAGGUCGGUUUAGGUUGGCGAGACGAGUCUCACAUCGCCUGGUACUUGUGAGUCUGAGCCUGACGAGAACGUCAGGGCUUAAGGGGAGAGAAUGUGAGACCCCAGGUUCCUAUAUAUAAGAUAUAAUAGGGCUAAAAUUAAGUCUCCGUUUGGUGAUUCUAGGUUCGUAAGCAGUGGAAAGUUUAGUUGAGGAUUGAGAAGGAGAGCUUUAGAUG
rnacentral:lncRNA from 1 species